rnacentral:rRNA from 1 species
GCCUAACACAUGCAAGUCGAGGGGUAACAGGGUAUUGCUUGCAAUCCGCUGACGACCGGCGCACGGGUGCGUAACGCGUAUGCAACCUACCUUCUACAAGAGGAUAGCCCAGAGAAAUUUGGAUUAAUACUCUAUACGAUCAUUAACUGGCAUCAGUCAAUGAAGAAAACUCCGGUGGUAGAAGAUGGGCAUGCGUCCUAUUAGUUAGUUGGUAAGGUAAUGGCUUACCAAGACUUCGAUAGGUAGGGGUCCUGAGAGGGAGAUCCCCCACACUGGUACUGAGACACGGACCAGACUCCUACGGGAGGCAGCAGUGAGGAAUAUUGGACAAUGGAGGCAACUCUGAUCCAGCCAUGCCGCGUGCAGGAAGACGGCCCUACGGGUUGUAAACUGCUUUUAUACAGGAAGAAUUAUGCCUACGUGUAGGCAUUUGACGGUACUGUACGAAUAAGGAUCGGCUAACUCCGUGCCAGCAGCCGCGGUAAUA